AUGAAUAUUUUCUUGUUUUCGUACCUUCUAGCUUGGUUACCAAAUGUCGUUACUGCAUGGUUUGAACAAACACCGAGAAUGAUAACGAAGGAGACAGGCGAAUCACUGACCAUCAAAUGCGUCUGGAAAGGUUCUAGCUGUGCAUUUAAUAGCAGGAAAUGGUAUCUGACAAAAUUGGGUGCAACAGAGGAGAAGAGCAUAUCAAUUAGUGGACGAUAUUCCGAAACAGUGAAUGAAGGAUCAAAGUCCUUUUCUUUGCGAAUUCGUGACCUGAGAGUUGACGACAGUGGUGCAUAUAGCUGUGGAGCAAAUGUUGAUCACAGAGUAUAUCCUUCUCGACCAGUCAUCAGUCUCCUCUACUCUGACGAACAGAGAGAAAACGGAUUUCUGCAGCUGGCCUGUCUCAUCAACAAAUUCUAUCCUGAAAACAUUGCGGUGAAAUGGCAGCGGAAUGGAAAUGCCUUAGAUUCUGGCUUUACAACCACAUCUCCAUUGAAAACAUCGAACAAUGUCUUUAGCUCUACAAGCUUGCUUAAAGUGCCCCUGAAGGAAUGGAGGAGCGGAUCUGUGUACAGUUGUCAAGUUUCACAUUCUGCAACCAGCAGUAACCAGAGAAAGGAAAUUCGUUCAGCAGCCGAGAUUGCUGUAUUACUAAGAGAUCCUUUGGUUGAAGAAAUGUGGAUCAAUAAAAAUGCCACUCUGGUUUGUGAAGUGCUUUCCACAGUUUCAGCUGGGGUAGUCAUCUCUUGGAUGGUGGAUGGAAAGGCACGGAAUGAAGGCGUUAAAACAGAAGCAGAUAUUGAAAGCCAACGUCUGACCAUCAGCCGCUUGACGACCAGCGUGGAAGAGUGGCAGAGUGGGGUGGAAUACACAUGCUCUGCAAAGCACGAUCAAUUAUCAAACGCAGUGUCAAAACGAACAAGAAUGGCAAGAGUCAAACCAGAGAAGCCACAUCUCCGCCUCCUGCCUCCAUCACCAAACGAGGUUCAAAACGGCACCUCUGCUACUCUCACAUGUUUGAUAAGAGGAUUCUAUCCUGAUGAAAUACGAGUAAACUGGGAGAAAGACGGAGCUUCUGUCAGUGAGAACAUCACCAUUUUAACCACUGCUCUGGAACAGAACUUGACCUACAGCACACGGAGCCUCCUCGUUUUACCUGCAGUGGAAUGGAAGAGCGGAGCAAAAUACACCUGUACUGCAUCUCAUCCAUCUUCACAGUCCACUGUGAAAAGGGAAAUCAGCCAUCCGAAAGAUGAAUGCCAUCAGCCAGAUAUUUCUGUCAACGUACUGAAACCUGCGUUUGAAGAGAUUUGGACACAAAAGACAGCGACCAUUGUUUGCAAAAUCGUUUCCAGCAAGUUAGGAAAUAUUAAUGUUGUCUGGCAGGAGAACGGGUCUGGGAGAACUAAAGGAGUCGUGACGGAAAAUCCUGAUUGGAACGGAAGUAAAUUCACCAUUGUGAGCAAACUUAAAAUCAUGGCGUCAGAGUGGGAUAGCGGUGUCGAAUAUGUUUGCUUGGUCGAAGAUAGUCAAUUACCAACACCAGUGAAAGCCUCUAUCAAGAAGACAACAGAUGGUCAAAUGUGUCCUCCUCAGGUUUAUCUCCUGCAUCCAUCGACUGACGAGAUUGACACCGAGAAUUCAGCGACCCUGAUGUGUCUCGCCACCAGCUUUUACCCAGCUGACAUUUACAUUGGCUGGAUGGCCAAUGACACGCUUUUGGAUGCCGGGUACCGAACGCACAUGGAUAGUGAGAAGGGGAAUGGUUCCAACUUCGUGAUCAGCAGGUUGAGAGUCACAGCGGCGGAAUGGAACAGUGACAUCACUUACUCCUGCUUGGUGGGACACCCAUCGCUCAGCCGAGAAUUAAUCAGAAGUAUAAAUAAGUCUCGUGAUGAGCCAGAAAUAAUGGAACACCCUGGAGACUAUGGCAUCGAAGAAAACGAAGUAGAAAAUGUCGAUGGAGAUGCCAACAGUUCCUUAUCCAUCAUGACUUUCGUCAUCCUGUUUAUUCUCAGUAUGCUAUACAGCACAUUUGUAACUGUGCUUAAGAUUGCAGAUAUUGAUUGGAGUAGAGUGUUCAAUGGUGAUGGGACGUCUGAUAAAUGGAAAUCAUCAAAAAAUGUGAUGGCGAGAGUCCAGAGUCAUUAUUCUCCAAUUAGAGUGAAAUAUAACGUCGUAGAAUGGGAACACAUUGAAUACUUGUUCACGUGUGAUGAAAAUCAAGAGGAAGUGAUGAAUGAUGUUUCUGAGGCUUCAGAUACGUGUACGAACAAGAAAUGUUUGGAGGGAUAUGGGUCACGCACAGGUACUGCCAGAUAUGCUGAGUAUAAUCCAAAAACUGCUGCAGUGAUUUCAUAA